UAUGUAGUAUUUCAGUGACAAGAUCCACUGAGGAGAGUUGGGGCAAGGCUGGCUGAGGUUCUCAAGGAGCUGUUUUGAGUUCAGGUGCCCACAUGGCAAUGGAAUGAUGCCUCCUGACCAUUCAGACCUUUGAGACCUCUGGGCGGUCUUAGAAAUCACCUCAAGCCUCCCAACGAGGAUCCGACCACCUGGGGGACUUCCAGGGAAAGGUAGCAGACAUAUCACGGACUGAAAGGUGAUGGGUACCCCAAAGAGCUCACUGCAAGACCUCAAAGAUUCCAAGCCACCGGCUGCUGGAACAUAUAAAGCCACCAGUCUGGAGAGGCAGCAGGAAGCAAGAAGCAAGCCUGGAGGAGGCUCUGUUGUUGUUAUUGUUGUUGUUGUUUUUGGCCAGAGGACAGACCACCUUCUCAGGUGUCCUGGGGAACUGCUGAAGGACAGUGAGGAAGAUGCUGCUGGUCCCCAGGACAGAAACACAGCAGCUGGAAGCAAGAGGCACCUAGAGUGGGACUCAAGCCCUUCAGACGGAGCUCUCUGAGCUGUGGUGCCCAAUUGGACUGUUUUUGCUUUGCCAUCAUUUGCAUAACACACAGUUCUGGAUGUUUUCCAUUGGUUGGCUUUCUUUCUUCUUUUUUUUCCCCCCUGUCCUUUCUUUUUCUCCUCUUGGCCCUGGGAAUUGUAAGAAAAAAAUUGCUUUAGAAAGUAUAAUUCUGUUGGUGACAUUAGCCUUGUUUUAUGAACAAAUUCUGUCACUGGGGAUUUUCUGCAUUGCAGUCCCAGGUUACCUAGUAAAUGGGGCUGCGUGGUUUGAUUUGUGUAGUACUGAUCCUUAGAUUAAAAAUACAUUUUCUUUCUUGCUUGCUUUUUUUUUUUUUAGUUUGGAUUCAGGUAAUGUCCUGAAUCACAUUUGCUUAGCUACUGAAGCGAUCUCAUUGUGGUAUCGCUUGGAUUUGAAAUAUAAUCAAACAUAUAUUAUACCAGGGGCGCCUGCACACUGUUUGAUAUAUAUGUUACGCUGCAAAGAAACACAAACCUAAUAGGUUGAAAUUUAAUUCCUGUCUGAUCCUGCAGCUGGAACGGGGGAGAAAUUAUACACAUCAAAAAUGGCUUCAAAUACCCUGAAUGUAAGCUAACCAACAGUAAGUGGCUGGUUUCCAAAUGCCCUUUUCUAAGGCAAAGCAGAAACUGGAGAUCCUCGGACCUCGCCACCAGGGUUGCUCGGGUCUGUCCGGGGACCUGCCCAUUGUGGAGGGAUUAGGGAACAAGGCAUGCCUCUCUGUCUUUUACGGAAACUGUGGCAUUUCUGACCUACGUUCUGUAACUGUGCCUGCCUUGCAAUAAAACACCUUAAGUUGAC